UGAGGAAUAUUGGUCAAUGGGCGCAAGCCUGAACCAGCCAUCCCGCGUGAAGGAAGAAGGCGCUAUGCGUUGUAAACUUCUUUUCCAGGGGGAGAAUUUUUCCGUCGUGACGGGAAUUGACGGUACUCUGGGAAUAAGCAUCGGCUAACUCCGUGCCAGCAGCCGCGGUAAUACGGAGGAUGCGAGCGUUAUCCGGAUUUAUUGGGUUUAAAGGGUGCGUAGGCGGAUUGAUAAGUCAGUGGUGAAAGGCUGCAGCUUAACUGUAGACGUGCCGUUGAUACGGUCAGUCUUGAGUAUGGUGAAUGCAGGCGGAAUGUGUAUUGUAUCGGUGAAUUGCUUAGAUAUUACACAGAACACCGAUUGCGAGGGCAGCUUGCGGGGCCAUCACUGACGCUCAUGCACGAAAG
rnacentral:rRNA from 1 species